rnacentral:lncRNA from 1 species
UAGGAGGUAGAAAUAAUUAAUAACAUAUCUCUGAACACAAGUGUCCUCAGAUCCACAUCGUGUUUCCACUUUUCCCUCACUCUUCCACCUCCACGAUGACUGCAUUACCGUCCACCACUCCAGUUGGCGUUAACUAUUCUUCUCCAUCAACAUCCUCAAGCUUGGGACAUAUUUAAUCAUGACAUGAAAGAUGGUUGGGGUCUCGCAACUGAUGGGAAAGUCUUGUUUGGAAGUGAUGGCAGUUCCACAUUGUAUAAAAUUGAUCCUCAAACAUUUAAAGCUUUUUAACUUGACGUCAAUAAUGCACUCACAAAAUUUGGAGAUGAGAACGGGAAGGCAAUUGCUUGGGUGAAAGCUUUCAUCCAAUUAGCUAAGGUUGUAAGUACCGGUAAAGUUACACGCAAAGAUCGUGAUAAAGCUUGGAAUGAACUUCAAAGAGCUGCCAAAGCGAAGAAAACAAGACCAUUUUAUCGGGUUGUGGACAAAAACGGUUUUAAUGUUAGCAGGGCAUAGGAAUUGUAGGAGAGCAACAUGAGAAAGUAUCAAGUUUAGAUGACGUGUACAAUAAUUUCUUCAGCCUAUAGGUGUGCGAAAACCUUCUUCCUUCACAUUCUCAUUAUGACAAUGGUUGGGACAACGGGUCAUUGGAUAACAAUUCUUUAUCUUGUAGUCAUUAAGUCUUCUUGAUGUGUUUUUUUUAGAUUUUUCAACAUUAGGUGUAAAACAGGUACAAUGUUUGGGCACAGAGCACAAUGGGGGAAAAUAGGCUAUACAAUAAACGGUUUUUUUUUAAUUUUUAAAUCAUUUAGCGUCGGUCAUUCCGACUCCACAAAUUUUUGUUGACUUUUGAAUAUUGACUUUAGCAUUGGUGUGACCGACUCUAAAAUUUAUUUGACUACUUAAAUGUUGACUUUAGAAUUUGC